rnacentral:rRNA from 1 species
ACGGAGGAUCCAAGCGUUAUCCGGAUUUAUUGGGUUUAAAGGGUGCGCAGGCGGACUAAUAAGUCAGAGGUGAAAUCUACAUGCUUAACAUGUAAUGUGCCAUUGAUACUGUUUGACUAGUAUGCAAAUGACGUAGCUGGAAUGUGUUAUGUAGCGGUGAAAAUCGUAGAAAUUACGCGGGACACCGGGGGCGAAGGCAACUUACUGAAUUUGUAUAGACGCUGAUACGCGAAAGCGUGGGGAUCAAACAG